rnacentral:tRNA from 1 species
GCGGAUGUAGCCAAGUGGAUCAAGGCAGUGGAUGUGACACCCC